rnacentral:rRNA from 1 species
AUUGAACGCUGGCGGCAGGCCUAACACAUGCAAGUCGAACGGUAACAGGAAGCAGCUUGCUACUUUGCUGACGAGUGGCGGACGGGUGAGUAAUGUCUGGGAAACUGCCUGAUGGAGGGGGAUAACUACUGGAAACGGUGGCUAAUACCGCAUAACGUCGCAAGACCAAAGAGGGGGACCUUCGGGCCUCCUGCCAUCAGAUGUGCCCAGAUGGGAUUAGCUUGUUGGUGAGGUAACGGCUCACCAAGGCGACGAUCCCUAGCUGGUCUGAGAGGAUGACCAGCCACACUGGAACUGAGACACGGUCCAGACUCCUACGGGAGGCAGCAGUGGGGAAUAUUGCACAAUGGGCGCAAGCCUGAUGCAGCCAUGCCGCGUGUAUGAAGAAGGCCUUCGGGUUGUAAAGUACUUUCAGCGGGGAGGAAGGUGUUGUGGUUAAUAACCGCAGCAAUUGACGUUACCCGCAGAAGAAGCACCGGCUAACUCCGUGCCAGCAGCCGCGGUAAUACGGAGGGUGCAAGCGUUAAUCGGAAUUACUGGGCGUAAAGCGCACGCAGGCGGUCUGUCAAGUCGGAUGUGAAAUCCCCGGGCUCAACCUGGGAACUGCAUUCGAAACUGGCAGGCUUGAGUCUUGUAGAGGGGGGUAGAAUUCCAGGUGUAGCGGUGAAAUGUGUAGAGAUCUGGAGGAAUACCGGUGGCGAAGGCGGCCCCCUGGACAAAGACUGACGCUCAGGUGCGAAAGCGUGGGGAGCAAACAGGAUUAGAUACACUGGUAGUCCACGCCGUAAACGAUGUCUACUUGGAGGUUGUGCCCUUGAGGCGUGGCUUCCGGAGCUAACGCGUUAAGUAGACCGCCUGGGGAGUACGGCCGCAAGGUUAAAACUCAAAUGAAUUGACGGGGGCCCGCACAAGCGGUGGAGCAUGUGGUUUAAUUCGGUGCAACGCGAAGAACCUUACCUGGUCUUGACAUCCACGGAAGAAUUCAGAGAUGGAUUUGUGCCUUCGGGAACCGUGAGACAGGUGCUGCAUGGCUGUCGUCAGCUCGUGUUGUGAAAUGUUGGGUUAAGUCCCGCAACGAGCGCAACCCUUAUCCUUUGUUGCCAGCGGUCCGGCCGGGAACUCAAAGGAGACUGCCAGUGAUAAACUGGAGGAAGGUGGGGAUGACGUCAAGUCAUCAUGGCCCUUACGACCAGGGCUACACGCGUGCUACAAUGGCGCAUACAAAGGGAAGCGACCUCGCGAGAACAAGCGGACCUCAUAAAGUGCGUCGUAGUCCGGAUUGGAGUCUGCAACUCGACUCCAUGAAGUCGGAAUCGCUAGUGAUCGUGGAUCAGAAUGCCACGGUGAAUACGUUCCCGGGCCUUGUACACACCGCCCGUCACACCAUGGGAGUGGGUUGCAAAAGAAGUAGGUAGCUUAACCUUCGGGAGGGCGCUUACCACUUUGUGAUUCAUGACUGGGGUGAAGUCGUAACAAGGUAACCC